GAUGAACGCUGGCGGCGUGCCUAAUACAUGCAAGUCGAGCGAAUGGAUUAAGAGCUUGCUCUUAUGAAGUUAGCGGCGGACGGGUGAGUAACACGUGGGUAACCUGCCCAUAAGACUGGGAUAACUCCGGGAAACCGGGGCUAAUACCGGAUAACAUUUUGAAUCGAAUGGUUCGAAAUUGAAAGGCGGCUUCGGCUGUCACUUAUGGAUGGACCCGCGUCGCAUUAGCUAGUUGGUGAGGUAACGGCUCACCAAGGCAACGAUGCGUAGCCGACCUGAGAGGGUGAUCGGCCACACUGGGACUGAGACACGGCCCAGACUCCUACGGGAGGCAGCAGUAGGGAAUCUUCCGCAAUGGACGAAGGUCUGACGGAGCAACGCCGCGUGAGUGAUGAAGGCUUUCGGGUCGUAAAACUCUGUUGUUAGGGAAGAACAAGUGCUAGUUGAAUAAGCUGGCACCUUGACGGUACCUAACCAGAAAGCCACGGCUAACUACGUGCCAGCCGCCGCGGUAA
rnacentral:rRNA from 1 species